rnacentral:lncRNA from 1 species
UGAUGGAGCAACUUAGGUCCUGGUGACAGAGGCAUGUGGUGGAAGAUACUCACAUCAUGAUGGACUAGGAAAUAUACAUCAAGUCAGGAAUCAGGGGCUGGGUAUUUUAUAUAUAUGUGUGUGUGUGUGUGUGUGUGUGUGUGUGUGUGUGUGUAUACAUAUACAUGUAAAAUGUAAUAUAUAAUAUAUAUUAUAUACACAUAUAUUAUAUUAUAUUGUAUUAUAUUAUAUUACAUAUUAAUACAUAUUAUAUAUAUAUAAUAUAUGUAUAAAUGUAUUAUAUACAAUGUUCUUCAGAUAUAUAAUAUAUCCUCCAUAGUUUUGCUUGUAAGCAUGGACUUUUUUACCUGGCUUGUUUGUUCUCAGAAAUAACUACCCUUGAGACUUAAUAUUUUAUGAAGAAAUGUGUAGGCUAAAAGCUUAGGCUUGUUCCCUGACUAGCUCAUAACUAAAUUAUCCAUUUAUUAUUUUCUAAGUUCUGUCAGAUGCCUUGUUACCUCUCUGCAGUUUCGUGUGACCCUCUCCUUCAGUGUUGGGGCAAUCUCUCAUGCCUAUUUCUCAGAAGCUGAUAUCUCUCUGCCAAAUAUCCCAUGGGCCAUAGGCUUUUUAUUGAUAGGUGAUGCUUCCAUACACUGCACAAGAGAUUCUUUCUACAUCUUCCUUUAAUGACUUAACUUUUAGCUAGGUUUCCAAUACCAAUAUCAAAACCAACACCAAAACCAGAACCAAAACUAAACAAAAAGCAUCAAUAAGAAGGUCCAAGUUUUUAAACCAUGAACCUGUGGAGGAAGGGGGGUUAUGUGACUGCUUUCGUCAAGAAAGCUCCUUAACCAGAAAAGCAAACAACUCAAAGUAGCUUCAGGAAGUUCCUGAAACUGACCAGAUUCACUAGGCCCCUCCCUGCGACAGUGAGUAAUAAAAGUUGAGAGUCCCUUCAGACUGAAGAGAGAUAAUCUGCAAAGAUGUAAUAAUCUAGGACCAUCUAUGUUCACUUGAUAUCAAGGGAUAUCAAGUGAUACUAAGUCAUAUGUAUUGUUACCCUCUCUAUAUGCUAGGUUCUGUCCUGUACGUCAGAAAUAGGUUGUAUUCCUUAAGCUUCAUAGGAAGGAUGUGAGGAAGAUGAUAUCUUAGGAGUUGGCUCCCAAAUUUCCUAAUAGCACAUGACAUUGGUUGGUCGAGUUUGUGAUGUUUUGACUUUGAGGGGGUGGUUCCUAUGAUUCCCCCAAAAUAGAUGCUG